GGUUGCAUUAAGGUUUAUACCAAAAGCAGUCAUUUAAAAGCACACCAACGUAUCCACACAGGAGAAAAGCCAUACAGAUGUCACUGGCCCGAGUGUCAGUGGCGUUUUGCUCGUUCUGACGAACUCACACGACACUAUCGUAAACACACCGGAGCUAAGCCUUUUAAGUGUAAAGUGUGUGAGCGUUCCUUCGCCAGAUCUGAUCACCUUGCCCUGCACAUGAAGCGACACCUACCGAAAACCAAAUGAUGUCUCAUCGGUUCCGUGGAAUAAUCGCACGUUAUAAUAAAACCAGGCAAGGUGUCUUUAAUUGAAAAUUUGAAAGACGUCACGAAAUGAUAACCAAUCACCAGCGAUCAUGAAAUUUAAGGACAAGGUCGAUAUAUUUUUUUAUGAAUUCACAGUUGCCUUGAAGUAGCAACUCCAAGAUAUUUUGAUGGAACAAUUUCUAUUUUUUUAACCCUUAAAACGGAGAAAAUUUAUUAAUGACAUGCAGUUAUUAUUAUAUAAGUUUGGAGAGAUUACUUUGUGUAAAACGUGCCAUCUUUAUAGACUGCAAGAUAUCGCACACAACAGUGCCGUGAAAGCGAUGUGCCAUUUUAAAAAUACAUUUAAUGUUAUUCAUUAUACUUAUUCUUUUGUGGGUUGUAUCUGGUCAGUUGACCUGCGACCUGUGAUUGUACAAUCGUUAGUUAAAUCUUGCUUUUUUGAAAUUAACUGUCCAUUACUUGACGUGCCAUGGUUUUUAAAACUGUUUUAACCAGCCUUUCGAGAGUUUUACUGCAUUUGAAUUGAUACUUUUUUGUUUACUAUUUGGAUUGUUUGUAUAUAUAUUUUUAUCGAGCAUAUGAGACACUACACUUGUGAAUGGUUUGUUUAUUUUACAGUUUUAUUAAUUUUUAUAUAUAUAUAUAUAUAUUUUUCUUCUUCUAAAUGCUCCUGAUAAUUAGAUUUGUCUCACUAAUUGAUAUAGAGCAUCUUUAUAUUACAUUACUGUAUUACUGAUACCUCUGUUACAGCUGAGUGAAUGUGUGUGAUAUACGUUUCUGUUGAAAACAUUAAAGUUUAGAUAAAAACGUGUAAGAAACUAAGAGAAAUAGCAAAUGUUUGUUUUUACAAACACAAUUCUAAACAAUAAUCUUCAACUUGAGAGAUGUCACAUCAUCUUAUUUUAUAUAUGAACAGCGAUCCUGGUGUUGAAACAUUUAAAUUAUCUAUCGAGUGCAAAAAAAAAAAUAUUUCUUUAUUCUUUGCAAACUAUGAUUUAGGCUUAAUAAUUAUUGAAUACGCUGUUUUUAAUUCGUAAAAAAGAUUAACAUUAUUUUUUAUAAAAAACACGUGCAUUUAGCAAUACUUAGAUUAAAGACGUUACACUUGAAGACAUUUCAAAUUACGUUUACGACCUUUAACACAAAAUUAUUAUUAAUAUAUCCACGUCACCGUUAAAGCAUCUUUUUUGUAUGUGACGUGAAAUAUUUCAAAUUACUGAAUACUCGAAAAGAAGCUUUUUCUCUGGAUCAUCCACUAGGGUGAGAACAAUUGUAACUUUAAUCUAAAUAUUUGUUAAACUUCGUCUAAAUAAUUUUCCUAUUUUUGAUAAUGUCACCGUUAUUACUAAUCAGAAUAUAUCCAGUAGACUCUGUGUUAAUGUUUAAAGGUACAAUACGGGAGCUAAGCCUUGAAAACAUUCUUUCUUGUAUUAUUCCAUACGAAAAUCAAAUGAGUUAUAAAAGGACUAUUCUGAACUAAGCCUUAAAAUUUCAUACUUAAUUUACUUUGACAAAUUUUGUUUUUUGAGAAAGCAAAGAGUUUUAAUUCAUUUUUCAUUUGUGUAACAAGAAAUAUUUUUACAGUAACAGAAAUUAAUGAUGAAAUGUUACAGUCAAGGCUAAUAUUUGAUGUUUUUUAAAUAAUUUGAUAAAGUUGUGCCUAACUAUUAGGACUCAAUUCACGAACAUAUUCACUUCCCUUGAUAUCGAAAUCUAGCGCAUCCUUUUUCAGUGGACCGGGCGUGGCGUAGUAGUCGGCGUGCCGGACUGUGAAUCCAAGGAUUUAUGGUCCGCGACCCACCGUUGUAGAAUCGCGUUCCAAAAUUUAGGGCCGUGGGUGCGUCAUAACAUAGUGACGGCUAAAUCCCACUAUUCCAUUAGAGUAGCCCAAGAGUUGGCGGUGGGUGCUGUUGACCGACUGCUUUCCCUCUAGUCUAUCAGCUCAAAAUUAGCACGUAUAGCCCUUGUUUAGCUUUGCGCGAACAUCCUUAACAAACAAUCCUGUUCACACAUUGGAGUUAUAAAAAUGGAUAUCUCGUGUAUUUGCCUUGUGUAAACUUUGAAACUCUUCUUUAAACGUUAUGAACAAUGUAAAUAGAUAGGACACAUUUUAUAUCUUCAUAAAAAGUGCCUUUAACGUACGACUUUCAACAUGGUGAUAUUUGGUGGUAUUCUUGGACAUUGUUGUUAUAAAUACUAGUAUUGUCAGUGUGAUAUAAUAUACAACACUUUGUGAAAGUUCUUUUUCUAAUUGAUAGUUGAACAAUAUAAAUCUUUGUAUGUGAAGCAAUAAAACAUAAGAAUUGAGAAA
rnacentral:lncRNA from 1 species